UACGAAGGGGGCUAGCGUUGCUCGGAAUCACUGGGCGUAAAGGGUGCGUAGGCGGGUCUUUAAGUCAGGGGUGAAAUCCAGGAGCUCAACUCCAGAACUGCCUUUGAUACUGAAGAUCUUGAGUUCGGGAGAGGUGAGUGGAACUGCGAGUGUAGAGGUGAAAUUCGUAGAUAUUCGCAAGAACACCAGUGGCGAAGGCGGCUCACUGGCCCGAUACUGACGCUGAGGCACGAAAGCGUGGGGAGCAAACAGG
rnacentral:rRNA from 1 species